GGUGAACGCUAGCGGCAGGCUUAAUACAUGCAAGUCGAGGGGUAACAUGGGUAGCAAUACCUGAUGACGACCGGCAAACGGGUGCGGAACAAGUACGAAACCUGUCCAUAACUGGUGAAUAGCCUUUCGAAAGAGAGAUUAAUACACCGUAACAUAACGAGUAGGCAUCUACUUGUUAUUAUAGGCUUCGGCCGGUUUUGGAUGGGCGUGCGCCUGAUUAGGUAGUUGGCGGGGUAACGGCCCACCAAGCCUGCGAUCAGUAACUGGUGUGAGAGCACGACCAGUCACACGGGCACUGAGACACGGGCCCGACUCCUACGGGAGGCAGCAGUAAGGAAUAUUGGUCAAUGGACGAAAGUCUGAACCAGCCAUGCCGCGUGAAGGAUGAAGGCCCUCUGGGUUGUAACCUUCUUUUAUCUGGGACGAAAAAAGCUCAUUCUUGAGCACUUGACGGUACCAGAGGAAUAAGCACCGGCUAACUCCGUGCCAGCAGCCGCCGUAAGAC
rnacentral:rRNA from 1 species